AUUGAACGCUGGCGGCAGGCCUAACACAUGCAAGUCGAACGGUAACAGGAAGAAGCUUGCUUCUUUGCUGACGAGUGGCGGACGGGUGAGUAAUGUCUGGGAAACUGCCUGAUGGAGGGGGAUAACUACUGGAAACGGUAGCUAAUACCGCAUAACGUCGCAAGACCAAAGAGGGGGACCUUCGGGCCUCUUGCCAUCGGAUGUGCCCAGAUGGGAUUAGCUAGUAGGUGGGGUAACGGCUCACCUAGGCGACGAUCCCUAGCUGGUCUGAGAGGAUGACCGGCCACACUGGAACUGAGACACGGUCCAGACUCCUACGGGAGGCAGCAGUGGGGAAUAUUGCACAAUGGGCGCAAGCCUGAUGCAGCCAUGCCGCGUGUAUGAAGAGGGCCUUCGGGUUGUAAAGUACUUUCAGCGGGGAGGAAGGGAGUAAAGUUAAUACCUUUGCUCAUUGACGUUACCCGCAGAAGAAGCACCGGCUAACUCCGUG
rnacentral:rRNA from 1 species